AGGUGAAAAGGGAAGGUGAAACUGAGAAACAGACUCAGAGAUGGGGGAAAGAUGGCAAGCAGCAGAGACAGCUUCACACUGCGGAGUCUCUAAGGAGUAAGAUACUCUGCCUGGGGACGUGUCACAGUGCUCCACACUGGGGCCAGCCACGUGCGGAGCAAGGCGGAACUUUUUUUUUUUUUAAGGUCUUAAUUUUAUUUUAUUUUUUUCCUUUAUGUAGAAAAACUAGCAUGAAACACUGACAGCACACUCAGCUUGGAUUUCCGGAUCAGACCGUGGCGGUUAGAGCAAGAACCCUGGCCGGAUUUUCUGUCGGUGACUUCAGGAGAGCUGCUAGUGGCCCAUCCUGCCUUCCGACUGCGCACGCAUGCGCUCUUCCCAAGACACACUGACGAUACUGACAAUAAAGGAACAAAAGCGGAAGCAUAAAGGAUGAAAAAGAACACCAAAGACGUCGUUUAAAGUUAAAGAUCUAGCUGACAGCGAGAUGGCCCAGCAGGCAAGGGUGUUUGCCGCCAAAUCUGACUUCCUGCGUUCAGUCCCCAGAUCACAUCCCAUGUGGGGGAAAGAGAGAACCAACCGACUCCUACAAGUGGUCUUCGACCUUCACACUCCUGCCACGGGGACGUGCAUGCUCACAUGUGUGCUAAAUAAAUGAAUGCAUAUAUGUCAGUUCCAAAAGC
ensembl:lincRNA Gm43763 predicted gene 43763